rnacentral:rRNA from 1 species
AUGAACGCUGGCGGCGUGCCUCAUCCAUGCAAGUCGAGCGAACAGACGAGGAGCUUGCUCCUUUGACGUUAGCGGCGGACGGGUGAGUAACACGUGGAUAACCUACCUAUAAGACUGGGAUAACUUCGGGAAACCGGAGCUAAUACCGGAUAACAUGUUGAACCGCAUGGUUCAACAGUGAAAGACGGUCUUGCUGUCACUUAUAGAUGGAUCCGCGCCGCAUUAGCUAGUUGGUAAGGUAACGGCUUACCAAGGCAACGAUGCGUAGCCGACCUGAGAGGGUGAUCGGCCACACUGGAACUGAGACACGGUCCAGACUCCUACGGGAGGCAGCAGUAGGGAAUCUUCCGCAAUGGGCGAAAGCCUGACGGAGCAACGCCGCGUGAGUGAAGAAGGUCUUCGGAUCGUAAAACUCUGUUAUUAGGGAAGAACAAAUGUGUAAGUAACUAUGCACGUCUUGACGGUACCUAAUCAGAAAGCCACGGCUAACUACGUG